rnacentral:snRNA from 1 species
CUGCAUGAGGGAUAGAAAUGGCAUCUCCCGAUUUAGAAAAACAAGGCUUUUUUUUUGCCGUAGUUUUUGUUAAUCGGGAAUACAAUGAACAGCCCUCUCGAUA